AUGUUGCCGCCGAGUUCGCCGGAGGAAGAAGCGCAGAGUUCGCCGGAGGAACAAGCGUUGGACGUGUGUGGCGGCGUGCUCGGAGAGCGGGGAGGGGCGCUGUGGCAGGUGAGCAAGAGGAGGACCAUAGGUCAGGGAGUGUUUGGUUUCAGGGAGAUCGUUGGGGAGGAGUUCAUGACCAUGUUCCUGUCAGUUUUUAGCCGUAUGGUUCAGAGACUGUUUGCGAUAUGCAGAGAUAGAUUCUUGGAGUAUCAAGAUGGUGUGGCCAUCAGGGUUCCCAUCACCAUGCAUGCCAUGCUUGAGCUCCUCAAGAACGCCACCAAGCUGUUUGAAGCAAAUCAGGAGAACGCCACCAUCGAUGAGGUUGCCAGUCGUAUCCAUGUUUGCAUAUUCUCUAGCCCAUUCAAUAAUCCACGUUUUCCGUUCGUGUGCAUUAGUCAGAUUAUAAGUUGUUGCACGCUGCCGCAAGCUGCCCGGAGCCACGCAACCUCUGUCCUAAAGGCACGACAUCGCUAA
rnacentral:rRNA from 1 species